rnacentral:rRNA from 1 species
GCUACACAUGCAAGUCGAACGAGAAAUCUCCUGCUUGCAGGAGAGAGUAAAGUGGCGCACGGGUGAGUAACGCGUGGGUAACCUGCCCUUGAAUCUGGGAUAACUUCGCGAAAGCGUUGCUAAUACCGGAUAUUGUUCCGAGAACUGUGGUUCUCGGUAUUAAAGAUGACCUCUUCAUGAAAGUUGUUGUUUGAGGAGAGGCUCGCGUACCAUUAGCUUGUUGGUGGGGUAAUGGCCUACCAAGGCGACGAUGGUUAGCUGGUCUAAGAGGAUGAUCAGCCACACUGGAACUGAAACACGGUCCAGACUCCUACGGGAGGCAGCAGUGAGGAAUUUUGCGCAAUGGGGGAAACCCUGACGCAGCAACGCCGCGUGAGUGAAGAAGGCUUUCGGGUCGUAAAGCUCUGUCAAGUGGGAAAAAAAGCUUUUGAUGAAUAGUCAAAAGAAUUGAUGGUACCACUAGGGGAAGCACCGGCUAACUCCGUGUCAGCAGCCGCGGUAAUACGGAGGGUGCAAGCGUUGUUCGGAAUUAUUGGGCGUAAAGAGCGUGUAGGCGGUUUGGUCAGUCAGAUGUGAAAGCCUUCUGCUCAACAGAAGAAGUGCAUUUGAUACUGCCUUACUUGAGUAUGGGAGAGGAGAGUGGAAUUCCCAGUGUAGAGGUGAAAUUCGUAGAUAUUGGGAGGAACACCCGUGGCGAAGGCGACUCUCUGGACCAAUACUGACGCUGAGACGCGAAAGCGUGGGGAGCAAACAGGAUUAGAUACCCUGGUAGUCCACGCCGUAAACGAUGAGAACUAGGUGUAGCGGGUAUUGACCCCUGCUGUGCCGAAGUUAACGCAUUAAGUUCUCCGCCUGGGGAGUACGGCCGCAAGGCUAAAACUCAAAGGAAUUGACGGGGACCCGCACAAGCGGUGGAGCAUGUGGUUUAAUUCGACGCAACGCGAAGAACCUUACCUGGAUUUGACAUCCUCUGGUCACCCUGGAAACAGGGUUUCUCCUGCUUGCAGGAACA